rnacentral:lncRNA from 1 species
AUCAUUGGCAGAUCACUUAACCCUGUUGAGUAUUGGUUUCCGUGUCUCAUGUGAGAAUAAUAAUCACAUUCCUUUGUCCCACAGUUGGGUGAAGAUACAAUGAGAAAAUGUAUGGUUAAGCAGUCAAAUGCUAGGCAUGUAUCAGUCAUUAGCACCGUGAUUGAGCUAUACAUUGUGGCACAAUGAAAUGAGAGCUGAGGCUCAGAAUGAGGAAAACCAACCUGAAUCAGUAAAGAGCCAAAACGACAUUCUGGUUUUUUGUUUGUUUGUUUGUUUGUUUUUUUAAGAGACAGUUGAAUACAGUUUGAGUACUAGGAGAUGGUGAAUAAAAU